GACCCAGUAUGGCACAGUGAUUUGAGUGUUGGACUACAACUCUGGAGACCAGGGUUCAAUUCCCUACAUGGCCA